rnacentral:rRNA from 1 species
UACGUAGGGUGCGAGCGUUGCCCGGAUUUAUUGGGCGUAAAGGGCGCGUAGGCGGCCACGCACGUCCGUUGUGAAAUCGCCCGGCUCAACUGGGCGGGGUCGGCGGAUACGGCGUGGCUGGAGCAAGCUAGGGGGCAAUGGAAUUCCCGGUGUAGUGGUGGAAUGCGUAGAUAUCGGGAGGAACACCUGUGGCGAAAGCGGCGCACUGGACCACAACUGACGCUGAGGCGCGAAAGCUAGGGGAGCAAACAGG